rnacentral:rRNA from 1 species
ACUGUAGGCUGCAACUCGCCUACACGAAGUCGGAAUCGCUAGUAAUCGCGGAUCAGCAUGCCGCGGUGAAUACGUUCCCGGGCCUUGUACACACCGCCCGUCACACCAUGAGAGUUGGGAAUACCCGAAGCCUGUGAGCUAACUUAUAGAGGCAGCAGUCGAAGGUAGAAUCAAUGAUUGGGGUGAAGUCGUAACAAGGUACC